rnacentral:rRNA from 1 species
GUAGGUGGCAAGCGUUGUCCGGAAUUAUUGGGCGUAAAGCGCGCGCAGGUGGUUCUUUAAGUCUGAUGUGAAAGCCCCCGGCUCAACCGGGGAGGGUCAUUGGAAACUGGGGAACUUGAGUGCAGGAGAGGAAAGUGGAAUUCCACGUGUAGCGGUGAAAUGCGCAGAUAUGUGGAGGAACACCAGUGGCGAAGGCGACUUUCUGGCCUGUAACUGACACUGAGGCGCGAAAGCGUGGGGAGCAAACAGGGAUUAGAUACCCUGGUAGUCCACGCCGUAAACGAUGAGUGCUAAGUGUUGGGGGGGUUUCCCGCCCCUCAGUGCUGCAGCUAACGCAUUAAGCACUCCGCCUGGGGAUACGGUCGCAAGACUG